rnacentral:rRNA from 1 species
GAACGGGUGAGUAACACGUAGGUGAUCUGUCCCCGGGUGGGGUAUAGCCCAUGGAAACAUGGGGUAAUACCGCAUGAGGUCCUGGAGCUUGAAGGCUUCUGGACGAAAGGCGCAAUUGUGUUGCCUGGGGAUGAGCCUGCGGCUCAUUAGCUAGUUGGCGGGGUAAGGGCCCACCAAGGCGACGAUGGGUAGCCGGCCUGAGAGGGUGUACGGCCACACUGGGACUGAGACACGGCCCAGACUCCUACGGGAGGCAGCAGCUAAGAAUCUUCCGCAAUGGGGGAAACCCUGACGGAGCGACGCCGCGUGGACGAAGAAGGCCGCAAGGUUGUAAAGUCCUUUUGCAGACGAAGAAUAGGCUUCGGAGUGGAACGCCGGAGCGAUGACGUUAGUCUGCGAAUAAGCCCCGGCCAAUUACGUGCCAGCAGCCGCGGUAACACGUAUGGGGCAAGCGUUGUUCGGAAUCACUGGGCGUAAAGGGCGUGUAGGCGGUUCGAAAAGCCUGGCGUGAAAGGUGUCGGCUCAACCGACAGACGGCGCUGGGAACUGCCGGACUG